rnacentral:lncRNA from 1 species
GGGUAGGUUGAGGGCUAAAUGAGUAAUUUCUCUCCCUCGUUUGUAUCACCAGCCAUCCCUCUCUCUAUUUAGUCUUGUGAGGAUAGAGAGAGGGAGUUCCUCUGCUGCUACUUCCUCUCUCUCACUCUCAAUCCAAUCUUAGGCUAGGAAGGGGUUUAAUUGGAGUUCGUCGCCGACGUCGUGCUGCGGGAUCGUUCGAGCACGUAUUUGACGCCGGGGCAUUGCGAGGAGACCGGGCGAGCGUGCGACUUCGCUGUUCUUGACGUUGCGCCGGUGCUCGGAGUUAUCAAGCUCGUACGCGACGUAGGAGCAUCGGAUUGCGA